rnacentral:rRNA from 1 species
UGGGGAAUUUUGGACAAUGGGCGAAAGCCUGAUCCAGCAAUGCCGCGUGUGUGAAGAAGGCCUUCGGGUUGUAAAGCACUUUUGUCCGGAAAGAAAUCCUUGGCUCUAAUACAGUCGGGGGAUGACGGUACCGGAAGAAUAAGCACCGGCUAACUACGUGCCAGCAGCCGCGGUAAUACGUAGGGUGCAAGCGUUAAUCGGAAUUACUGGGCGUAAAGCGUGCGCAGGCGGUUUGCUAAGACCGAUGUGAAAUCCCCGGGCUCAACCUGGGAACUGCAUUGGUGACUGGCAGGCUAGAGUAUGGCAGAGGGGGGUUAGAAUUCCACGUGUAGCAGUGAAAUGCGUAGAGAUGUGGAGGAAUACCGAUGGCGAAGGCAGCCCCCCUGGGGCCAAUACUGACGCUCAUGCACGAAAGCGUGGGGGAGCAAACAGGAUUAGAUACCCUGGUAGUCCACGCCCUAAACGAUGUCAACUAGUUGUUGGGGAUUCAUUUCCUUAGUAACGUAGCUAACGCGUGAAGUUGACCGCCUGGGGAGUACGGUCGCAA